rnacentral:rRNA from 1 species
AGGAUGAACGCUAGCGGCAGGCCUAAUACAUGCAAGUCGAACGGUCGGUAGCAAUACUGAUAGUGGCGCACGGGUGCGUAACGCGUAGCCAACCUACCCACAUCUGGGGGAUAGCCCGCCGAAAAGGCGGAUUAAUACCGCAUAAGACAGCGGAGCGGCAUCGCUUGGUUGUUAAAGAUUUAUUGGAUGUGGAUGGGGCUGCGUGCCAUUAGCUAGUUGGGGGGGUAACGCCCACCAAGGCGACGAUGGCUA